CAGCAGCCACGGUAAUACAGAGGAUGCAAGCGUUAUUCGUAAUGAUUGGGCGUAAAGCGUCUGUAGGUGGCUUUUCAAGUUCAAAGUCAAAUCCCCGGGCUCAACCCUGGACAGGCGGUGGAAACUACCAAGCUGGAGUAAGGUAGGGGUAGAGGGAAUUUCCGGUGGAGCGGUGGAAUGCAUUGAGAUCGGAAAGAACACCAACGGCGAAAGCACUCUGCUGGGCCGACACUGACACUGAGAGACGAAAGCUAGGGGAGCAAAUGGGAUUAGAUACCCCCGUAGUCCCUGUCUCUUAUAA
rnacentral:rRNA from 1 species